rnacentral:rRNA from 1 species
CCUACGUGGGGCUGCAGUGGGGACUAUUGCACAAUGGGGGAAACCCUGAUGCAGCGACGCCGCGUGAGUGAAGAAGUAUUUCGGUACGUAAAGCUCUAUCAGCAGGGAAGAAAAACCGGCCUUAGGGCCGCCAGACGGUACCUGACUAAGAAGCCCCGGCUAACUACGUGCCAGCAGCCGCGGUAACACGUAGGGGGCAAGCGUUAUCCGGAUUUACUGGGUGGAAAGGGAGCGUAGACGGCAGCGCAAGUCUGGAGUGAAAUGCCGGGGCCCAACCCCGUAACUGCUUUGGAUACUGUGCAGCUGGAGUGCAGGAGAGGUCAGCGGAAUUCCUAGUGUAGCGGUGAAAUGCGUAGAUAUUAGGAGGAACACCAGUGGCGAAGGCGGCUUACUGGACUGUAACUGACGUUGAGGCUCGAAAGCGUGGGGAGCAAACAGGAUUAGAUACCCGGGUAGUC